GAAGUGACCUUCAUAGCCGCCGAAAGUUUGGCCAUGUUGAGUGGCUAAUGCGCGGCAUUCAAGGUCGGCUCGAAGCUGUACGGAACAACACGUAAAAUCCCUAGUUCAGAAAAGUCUCCCUGUUUAGUAAAAAUACUCUCUGCUUAAACGAAAUACGAAAGGUAUAAACGGAACAACUGGUGUCAGAAGUGUCAGUUGUGAGAAUGCUUAAAUAUAGCUAAAAGAUGACGAAGGAAUUGCCCAAGUGGGGCUUACCGAUGGAAGAGCAGUCUUCUUGGAUUCUUGGAUGAGCAAGACCUGUGGCGGACAACGGCCAAUUGAUAGCAAUGCUGCAACAGUUGAUGCUGGUCAAGGUUCUGAAGGAUCAAGGUGACCAACAGCAACAGGCAGACGGUGAAUGGAAGUGAAGGAUCAAAGUGAAGCUCAAUCAAAGAAAUUAUAAGCCAUGGUGCAGCGAGCACAAUGGUUUCUGGCCUCGACUUGGACACAAACUUUCCGUGGAUGUCGGGCUGGCAGAGGCAUCCAGGAGACCAUCAGGGAGCCAUUUCUCUUCCAACAGUCUUGUCAUAACUGUGAUUGAGCUUUAUCUAGAUCCUUUACCUGCUGCUGCAACAGGAUCUGUGGCUGUUGGUCACCUUGAACAUACUAAAUUUAUCAAAGUGAACGCACCUGCUAAAAACUGCAAAAAAAAAACAACCAAAAAUAUUAAAAAUAUAAAAUUUGGCUGGACCCACCCAACCAAAACGUUUGGUUUAUUGAUCUCGCCCUAACAACAAGGAAAAUUUCAGGAUCACCAGGGUUGGCAGAUAACGGAUGUAAAUGGAGCUGUAUCUUAAAGAAAAACGCAGACCACCAAAUUGGUCCUCCAACUCCCAAGGUUCUCCUGCAGAACCGCAGAUUGAUACGAACUAUGGAUAGCUCAGGUUCUUAUGCAACUGCAGAGGUUAGUAGCGGUCCUCACAAAGGCAGUAGCAGGUAUCCUGCAAUCCCUUGACCAACUGCGUAACGGAGGUAUACUCCUAACCUCGCAGUCACUCUAAAAACCAUAAUGCUGUCGGACCUAAGGAUCGGAUUCUAGAACGCCCGUAGCCUGUAUCAUAACACUAUUGAGCUGCCUUUAUUUUUACAGCGUUAUAAUAUUGACAUCAUGUUAGUGACUGAAACCUACCUUUACCCAGGGAAAAACUACACGCUCCACAGAUACAGGUGUUAGAGUGUUACACCCAUCAAACAAGGCCAGAGGAUGAGCACCUGUACUCGUUCGGAGGGAUAUUUGACACUAUCAACCUCAGCUCCGACCACCUGCCUCUCAUUGCUUCCUUAUCGACUACUCCGCAGACAAUCCCAGCCAUGACGAGGCUGAAACCCAACUUAAACUCGCAACUCUUACACACAUAUUUAAGGACCGCUCAGGAUGUAGAUGCUGCAGUCGAUACUCUUGUGACCAAAGUCUGUGACGCUUCUGCAUCUGCUACCACCUGCGGCCCUCAAGGCAGUCGAACUUCACAGACUGGAAACCACAGAGGAGGCGCUUCAAGCGAGAUCAUAGGGGUUCUUCCGCUCAAGAAACGACUUAGGCGCGAGUACAUAUGCACCAGUAACCCGCAGGUCGACAGAGUCUACAGGGGAGUGGCUAACCGGGUAAUGAAGAAAUUAACAAAACAGAAAACCAAGGCCACGGAUAGACUGCUUUCGCAGGCCAAAGCAGACGGACACUCCCACAUACGUCCUUUGGAAUCUGACAGCAUGCUACAAGAGGAAACUUAAACCUCGCUUUCCGGUACGGCUGACUGCUCAUGGGCAAGCACGAGAGACUGCUCGCCAAGAUCAUAGUGAUGCUCAAGCCUUAGCUGUAUGAAGCUAUCAAAAACUUUCUAAUGGAGAGGACCGUUCGCGUAGUCCAGGAUGGUGCAGCUUCAUUGACCAAAUUCAUCAAGGCGGUAGUCCUGCCUGAAGGCAAGAGUUCUUCUUCGACCUUGUUUACACACAUUUUUUUUUAAAUCAUCGUAGUUUUACCUUUGACUGUUGUAUAAGUUGCUCUAACAGUAAAAGCAAACUACCUAAUUGUAUCCGUAAUAAUAUUUUUCAUUCAAAUAAAAUUUACACAAAAAUACUUGAAUCGCCUCAACUUGAUCUAACUUAUCUAUAUGAUCUAAAUCGACUUCAGAAUAAAUAACUUAUCUAUCUUUUAUCUAUCUUAAAUUCGUAAAUGUGUCUGUUUAUGCUCUUUCUUUGUGUGGCAGUGAAUAUUUAGCAGGUUCCUUUAACAAAUUACCAUCGCAUUGCUUGAAGGUUCAAUGUCGCUACACCUGCUUUAACGGCCAAGAUAAAGAAAUCGUCAGCGAUAUUCAGUACGCCAUAUCCAAUUCUAAUCAUUCAGAUACGUGUGAUGUUAUUGAAGAGCUUCGUCUAUACAACUAUGAAUUUAUUAAUGCAACAGUGAAGGUCGGAUUCUUAUCAACUAUUGGUGAUAAAGUCAAAAAUAUCUAUAUAGCUAUCUCAAAUAUCACAGUUAUUGAGAGAGGUGCUUUUGGUGGAGGUAUCUUCAAUAACAUUGUUCUUGAGGAUCUUAGGCUGAAAGAGAUUACUAAUGGGUUUUUUAAUAACAUCUCAGAAGAUUUAAAGGGAAUUUCUAUUACUCAGCGGGAAGAAUCCGUACAAUGUAUAUAUCCAAAUUUUCUCGACAAUGUAAAAUUUCAAAUUGAGCACUUAGUAAUACGAGUAGGACUACAAUGUGUAAGAAAUGUCACAGCUCAUGACCCUGUAAUGGGAUUACUCGCCUUUGUUGACUUCAGCUACAACAACUUCAGUACCAAAUUACUUCAAGACACGUUCAGUAAACUAACCAUGGUUGAACGGUUAGUUUUAUCGAAUUCAAAUAUCAAUUACCUACCACAAUAUAUUUUCCAAGAUUUACGCGAUUUUCUAUUGGCUAUUGGUAAUCGUAGAUCAGACCAUUCCGUCGGGCAACUCCCACAAAAAAAGGACAUAGGUACCCGACGAGUGGUCUGAUCGUGAUAAAAAUAUAUGUUGGCGCACACCAAACCGAUGGGCACACAAAAUAUAACGAAAAUCGUUAGAGUCAUUUCGGAGAAGUUUAUCAACAAAGACCUCCCAAAAUGAGGACAUAGAUACCCGAAGAGUGGUCUGAUCGGGAUAAAAAAUAGAUGUUGGACGAUGCGUUCACGUAACCGAUAAGCACACAAACCGAUAAACACGAUAAGCACCGGAAAUCGGUCGAGCCAUUUCGACGGAAGUUCAAUAACAAAUAUUGUAACCCUAGAAUUGCAUAUAUUUGAGCAAUGCCAAUAAGACGCAGAGGGGCUAAUUUCAGUCGACAAACGAUCAGGUCGAGCCAUUUCGGAGAAAUUCAAUAACAAAUAUUGUAACCUUAGAAUUGCAUAUAUUUGAGCAAUGCCAAUAAGACGCAGAGGGGCCAAUUUCAGUCGACAAACGAUCAAGUCUAGAACCAUGCGAGAUAUAAGAGUACGAAUUUCAGGUGAGCUGGCGCAGUUACGUGAAUCACUAUCGCAAGAGGCCCGAGAUCAACGAAAUCAACAAAGGCAACUAGAACGGAGAGUAACGCGCAGAUACAUAGUCGACAGACUUAGAGGAAUUGACCAACAACGCAAAAAUCGUAGAGUAAUUGCCCAACAGCGACAACAAUUUCAAUGAGCAUUUACAUCAAAUUCAUACAUCAGAUAUAUCUCUCGUCGAAAAACCAUUCAGUUUGUUUGUGUUGACUAAAGACGGAUGAGAGAUGAUCUGUAUUGUUAAGUAAUCUUAUAAUUGACAAAAAUAAUAUACAUGGCAAAACAACGUGUCCCGGGUCACCUAGUAUAUAUAUGUAUAUACAUAUA
rnacentral:sRNA from 1 species